rnacentral:rRNA from 1 species
GGAGUUUGGGCCGUGUCUCAGUCCCAUUGUGGCUGAUCAUCCUCUCAAACCAGCUACUGAUCGUCGCCUUGGUGGUCCAUUACACCUCCAACUAGCUAAUCAGAUGCAGACUCAUCCUGAAGCGAUAAAUCUUUCACGAAUAGUAUUGCAACUACGCGCAUAUGGGGUAUUAGCAGAAGUUUCCCUCUGUUGUCCCCCUCUUCAGGGCAGAUUCUCUACACAUUACUCACCCGUCCGCCACUUUCCGUUACCCGAAGGUAAUUUCUCGUUCGACUUGCAUGUAUGAAGUACGCCGCCAGCGUUCGUCCUGAGCCAGUAUCAAACUCU